rnacentral:RNase_P_RNA from 1 species
GGGGAGGAAAGUCCGAACUCCGCAGGGCAGUGCGCCGGGUAACGCCCGGUCAGGGCGACCUGAAGGAAAGUGGCACAGAAAACAUACCGCCUCGCGCUUGGCGCGCGGUAAGGGUGAAAAGGUGCGGUAAGAGCGCACCGCGUCCGCCGCAAGGGGGAUGGCAGGCUAAACCCCGCACGGAGCAAGACCAAAUAGGGAGGCGCGCGAGGGCGGCCCGUCCGAGGCCUCCGGGUAGGUUGCUCGAUCCCGCCAGAGAUGGCGGGACUAGAGGAAUGGUCGCCGCCGUGGGGUCGUCGCGUUCAGGCGCGGCGCUCGCGGCACAGAAUUCGGCUUACGGGCCGGCUGCGGCG